rnacentral:tRNA from 1 species
GGCUCUGUAGUGUAGGUGGUUAUCACUCGGGGUUCUGAUUCCCGCGACGGGAGUUCGAGUCUCCCCAGAGCCU